rnacentral:misc_RNA from 1 species
UUUCCGUAGGUGAACCUGCGGAAGGAUCAUUGCACACACGAUGCAGCAAACUAGCGAACUGUGUUUGUCCCCCACCUACCCCAAACACGAGGGGCCGCAUCUGGCGGUGCGGCUGUCGACGGCAAGGUCCCGACCUUCGGGUCCCCGCAGUGGUUCCCGCAAGCGGGCUGAUCAUGUCUCCGUCUGGGUGUCCCGCGCGGGCUCUCGCCUUGCCUUAGGGUUGGCCGACGCGGUCAUUCUCCUCCCUUCGAUGGCGUCGUCCCCUCCUCCGGGAGAGCGCCACGCCUCGCGUGCCGUCUCCACCGCUGCACCAUGUACAACACCAGUGAGUGGGUAUACCUGUGUCCCGGUUCCGCUGCUGCAUUCGGGUUGUGCGGGAUUGGUCCAUAGGGACAAGAGUAAAUAAAAACAACUCUCAGCAACGGAUAUCUUGGCUCUU